UACAGAGGUGGCAAGCGUUGUUCGGAAUUACUGGGCGUAAAGGGCGCGUAGGCGGUCUUUUAAGUCUUGUGUGAAAUCCCUCGGCUCAACUGAGGAACUGCACGGGAUACUGGAAGACUUGAGUUCGGGAGAGGGAAGCGGAAUUCCGGGUGUAGCGGUGAAAUGCGUAGAUAUCCGGAGGAACACCGGUGGCGAAGGCGGCUUCCUGGACCGGUACUGACGCUGAGGUGCGAAAGCGUGGGGAGCAAACAGG
rnacentral:rRNA from 1 species